CACUAGGAAGCUAAAUACGGAUAACAGCAUUGGCCUUUUAAGCCAAAGAUUGGUGCCUCCCAACCACCUCUAGUGA
rnacentral:tRNA from 1 species